CCUACGGGUGGCAGCAGUCGAGAAUCAUUCACAAUGGGGGAAACCCUGAUGGUGCGACGCCGCGUGGGGGAAUGAAGGUCUUCGGAUUGUAAACCCCUGGCAUGUGGGAGCAAAUUAAAAAGAUAGUACCACAAGAGGAAGAGACGGCUAACUCUGUGCCAGCAGCCGCGGUAAUAUAGAGGUCUCAAGCGUUGUUCGGAAUCACUGGGCGGAAAGCGUGCGUAGGCUGUUUCGUAAGUCGUGUGUGAAAGGCGCGGGCUCAACCCGCGGACGGCACAUGAUACUGCGAGACUAGAGUAAUGGAGGGGGAACCGGAAUUCUCGGUGUAGCAGUGAAAUGCGUAGAUAUCGAGAGGAACACUCGUGGCGAAGGCGGGUUCCUGGACAUUAACUGACGCUGAGGCACGAAGGCCAGGGGAGCGAAAGGGAUUAGAUACCCUUGUAGUC
rnacentral:rRNA from 1 species